rnacentral:rRNA from 1 species
AAUAGAUACCCAGGUAGUCCAUGCCGUAAACGUUGGGAACUAGAUGUAGGGCCUGUUCCACGGGUUCUGUGUCGUAGCUAACGCAUUAAGUUCCCCGCCUGGGGAGUACGGCCGCAAGGCUAAAACUCAAAGGAAUUGACGGGGGCCCGCACAAGCGGCGGAGCAUGCGGAUUAAUUCGAUGCAACGCGAAGAACCUUACCAAGGCUUGACAUAUAGAAGAACACUGCAGAGAUGCAGGACUCUUUGGACACUUCUAUACAGGUGGUGCAUGGUUGUCGUCAGCUCGUGUCGUGAGAUGUUCGGUUAAGUCCGGCAACGAGCGCAACCCUCGUCCUAUGUUGCCAGCGGGUCAUGCCGGGGACUCAUGGGGAUACUGCCGUGGUCAACACGGAGGAAGGUGGGGAUGACGUCAAAUCAUCAUGCCCCUUAUGUCUUGGGCUUCACGCAUGCUACAAUGGCCGGUACAGAGGGUUGCGAUGCCGCGAGGUGGAGCGAAUCCCAAAAAGCCGGUCUCAGUUCGGAGUU